AGGACGAACGCUGGCGGCGUGCUUAACACAUGCAAGUCGAACGGUAAGGCCCUUCGGGGUACACGAGUGGCGAACGGGUGAGUAACACGUGGGUGAUCUGCCCUGCACUUCGGGAUAAGCUUGGGAAACUGGGUCUAAUACCGGAUAUGACUACGAAUCGCAUGGUUUGUGGUGGAAAGCUUUUGCGGUGUGGGAUGGGUCCGCGGCCUAUCAGCUUGUUGGUGGGGUGAUGGCCUACCAAGGCGACGACGGGUAGCCGGCCUGAGAGGGUGUCCGGCCACACUGGGACUGAGAUACGGCCCAGACUCCUACGGGAGGCAGCAGUGGGGAAUAUUGCACAAUGGGCGCAAGCCUGAUGCAGCGACGCCGCGUGAGGGAUGACGGCCUUCGGGUUGUAAACCUCUUUCAGUAUCGACGAAGCGCAAGUGACGGUAGGUACAGAAGAAGGACCGGCCAACUACGCGCCAGCAGCCGCGGUAA
rnacentral:rRNA from 1 species